rnacentral:rRNA from 1 species
GAUGAACGCUGGCGGCGUGCCUAAUACAUGCAAGUCGAGCGAACGCACGAUAAGCUUGCUCCUCUGAUGUUAGCGACGGACGGGUGAGUAACACGUGCAUAACCUACUUAUAAUACUGGGAGAACUUCGGGAAACCGGAGCUAAUACUGGCUAAUAUUUUGAACCGCAUGGUUCAAAAGUGAAUGACGGUCUUGCUGUCACUAAGAGAUGGAUCCGCGCUGCAUUAGCUAGUUGGUAAGGUAACGGCUUACCAAGGCAACGAUGCAUAGCCGACCUGAGAGGGUGAUCGGCCACACUGGAACUGAGACACGGUCCAGACUCCUACGGGAGGCAGCAGUAGGGAAUCUUACGCAAUGGGCGAAAGCCUGACGGAGCGAUGCCGCGUGAGUGAUGAAGGUCUUCGGAUCGUAAAGCUCUGUUAUUAGGGAAGAACAUAUGUAUAAGUAAAUGUGGACAUCUUGACGGUACCUAAUGAGAAAGCCACGGCUAACUACGUG